rnacentral:misc_RNA from 1 species
AAUCUCUACUUGCAUCAACUGCUAACCUCAUUACACUGGAUGACAUAAUUCUUAAGUUAUAAAUCCAAUUCAAAGUAUCAGACCGCAAUGUUUCUAAGUAAGGCAAGUUAUAGUUUAGAAUAUUAAUCAUUAUCAACAAAAUUACUUGUAAACAGCCAUUUCUUGCCACUAUUAACACCUAUUGGUGAUGCAGAUCUGUUAUCUUUCCAGUCAAG